rnacentral:misc_RNA from 2 species
AACGCACAUUGCGCCCCUCGGUAUUCCGUGGGGCAUGCCUGUUCGAGCGUCAUUUACACCCUCAAGCUCUGCUUGGUGUUGGGCGUCUGUCCCGCUUUAUGCGUGGACUCGCCCCAAAGUCAUUGGCAGCGGUCGUGCCAGCUUCUCGCGCAGCACAUUUGCGUUUCUUGAAGUUUGGUGGAUUAGCAUCCAGUAAGCUCUUUUAUGACUUGACCUCGGAUCAGGUAGGGAUACCCGCUGAACUUAA